AGUGAACGCUGGCGGUAGGCCUAACACAUGCAAGUCGAACGGCAGCACAGUAAGAGCUUGCUCUUACGGGUGGCGAGUGGCGGACGGGUGAGGAAUACAUCGGAAUCUACUUUUUCGUGGGGGAUAACGUAGGGAAACUUACGCUAAUACCGCAUACGACCUACGGGUGAAAGCAGGGGAUCUUCGGACCUUGCGCGAUUGAAUGAGCCGAUGUCGGAUUAGCUAGUUGGCGGGGUAAAGGCCCACCAAGGCGACGAUCCGUAGCUGGUCUGAGAGGAUGAUCAGCCACACUGGAACUGAGACACGGUCCAGACUCCUACGGGAGGCAGCAGUGGGGAAUAUUGGACAAUGGGCGCAAGCCUGAUCCAGCCAUACCGCGUGGGUGAAGAAGGCCUUCGGGUUGUAAAGCCCCUUUGUUAGGAAAGAAAAGCAGCAGGUUAAUACCCCGCUGUUCUGACGGUACCCAAAGAAUAAGCACCGGCUAACUUCGUG
rnacentral:rRNA from 1 species